rnacentral:rRNA from 1 species
UGCAAGUCGAACGGCAGCAUGAAUUAACUUCGGUUGAUUUGAUGGCGAGUGGCGAACGGGUGAGUAACGCGUAGGAAUAUACCUUAAAGAGGGGGAUAACUCGGGGAAACUCGAGCUAAUACCGCGUAAGCUCUACGGAGUAAAGCAUGGGACCUUCGGGCCAUGCGCUUUAAGAAUAGCCUGCGUCCGAUUAGCUAGUUGGUGGGGUAAAGGCCUACCAAGGCGAUGAUCGGUAGCUGGUCUGAGAGGAUGGGCAGCCACACUGGGACUGAGACACGGCCCAGACUCCUACGGGAGGCAGCAGUGGGGAAUAUUGGACAAUGGGGGCAACCCUGAUCCAGCGAUGCCGCGUGUGUGAAGAAGGCCUGAGGGUUGUAAAGCACUUUUAGUGGGGAGGAAAGGUACCAGGUUAAGAGCUAGGUGCUGUGACGUUACCCACCAUAAACAGCACCGGCUAACUCCGUGCCAGCAGCCGCGGUAAUACGGGGGGUGCAAGCGUUAAUCGGAGUUAUUGGGCGUAAAGGGUGCGUAGGUUGUUCGUUAAGUUAUGUGGGAAAUACCUAGGCUUAACCUAGGAAUGUCGGAUAAUACUGAUGAACUUGAGUGUGGUAGAGGGUAGUGGAAUUUCCGGUGUAGCGGUGAAAUGCGUAGAGAUCGGAAGGAACACCAGUGGCGAAGGCGGCUACCUGGACUAACACUGACACUGAGGCACGAAAGCGUGGGUAGCAAACAGGAUUAGAUACCCUGGUAGUCCACGCUGUAAACGAUGUCAACUAGCUGUUGGGCAAAUAAAUUUGCUUAGUGGCGCAGCUAACGCGAUAAGUUGACUGCCUGGGGAGUACGGUCGCAAGAUUAAAACUCAAAGGAAUUGA